rnacentral:lncRNA from 10 species
CCACAGUGAUGCCCGAUUCUUCCAUCAAGGCUGGAACACAGGAGCAAAUAGCUUGAACAUACAAGGAUUAUAUUGUUCCUUCUCUUAAAGUUACCUCUGUCAUGCGCGUCCGUGUGAAGAUACCACCAAACAGGCUUUGUAUCUUCAGUUGCUUCAGGCCAUCUGGAUGUAUACGUCAGGUCACAGGGGAUAUGAUGGCUUAGCUUGGGCUCAG